rnacentral:snRNA from 1 species
GGAUGCGAGGGCGAUCUGGCUGUGACACCUGUCACCCCACUGAUGGCCAGGGUUGAUACGGCUGAUCUGGCUGGCUAAGCGGGUGUCCCCUCCCUCCCUCACUGCUCCAUGUGUGUCCCUCUCGAAUCUGCACACUAAGUUGAAGAGUACGACCUUCCCCGAUAGAGGAGGACCAUUCUUCUGUCAACAGUAUAGGGGAACCGUUAUUUGGUUAAGGGUAUACGAGUAGCUGCGCUUCCCUGCUAGAACCUCCAAACAAACUCUCAAAAGAAUCAUUAGUAAAGAUUGUGGUGCCAGUGAAAAGGGAACCCGGGCUUCUGUUUCUGUUU